CUUCAGUGAUGAUACGAUGACGAGUCGGAAUGGGAUUGUACUUCGCUCGAAGGAGUCUGUCCCUGAGUCACGUUCUGUGCCUCUGAGCUUGGACCCUUUGAGCGGAGAGUCCCUUUAGCUUGAAGACAUCGAGGCAUUUGUCUGAGAAGG
ensembl:snoRNA SNORD15 Small nucleolar RNA SNORD15